GAUGAACGCUAGCGGUGCGCCUAACACAUGCAAGUCGAGCGAGAAGAUGGAGUAGCUUGCUACAAAAUUGGAAAGCGGCGAACGGGUGAGUAACACGUUGGUAUCUGCCCUCUGGUCAGGGAUAGCCAUCCGAAAGGAUGAUUAAUACCGGAUAGUCUCGAAAGAGUAAAGAUUUAUUGCCAGAGGAGGAACCUGCGGCCUAUCAGCUAGUUGGUGAGGUAGAAGCUCACCAAGGCUAUGACGGGUAGUUGAUCUGAGAGGAUGAUCAGCCACAAUGGAACUGAGACACGGUCCAUACUCCUACGGGAGGCAGCAGUGAGGAAUCUUCCACAAUGGGGGCAACCCUGAUGGAGCGACACCGCGUGAAGGAUGAAGGUCUAACGAUUGUAAACUUCUUUUCUGAGGGAGCAUAAUGAGAGUACUUCAGGAAUAAGGGACGGCUAAAUACGUGCCAGCAGCCGCGGUAAUACGUAUGUCUCGAGCGUUAUCCGGAAUUACUGGGUGUAAAGGGUUUGUAGGUUGUUUGUUAAGUAGGGUAUGAAAGAACGGAGCUCAACUUCUGUUUGUAUUCUAAACCGGGUAUCUAGAGUUUCGGAGCGGUCAAGGAAACUUGAGCUCGGUGUAAAUCAGUAGAUAAAUUAAAAAACACACAUCUUAUGCUUUUUCCUUUUCUAUUCUAUUCUCCACUGAUACCCCACGGAG
rnacentral:rRNA from 1 species